rnacentral:rRNA from 1 species
UACGGAGGUCCCAAGCGUUGUUCGGAAUUACUGGGCGUAAAGGGAGCGCAGGCGGAUGGGUCAGUUUGAAGUGGAAGCCCGGGGCUCAACCUCGGAAUUGCUUUGAAUACUGCCUGUCUUGAGUCCGUGAGAGGAAAGUGGAAUUCAGGGUGUAGCGGUGAAAUGCUUAGAUAUCCUGAGGAACACCAGUGGCGAAAGCGACUUUCUGGCACGUGACUGACGCUGAGGCUCGAAAGCGUGGGUAGCGAACGGG